rnacentral:rRNA from 1 species
ACGUAGGGUGCGAGCGUUAAUCGGAAUUAUUGGGCGUAAAGCGUGCGCAGGCGGUUCGUGAUGUCUGGUGUGAAAGCCCCGGGCUUAACCUGGGAAUUGCAUUGGAAACUAGCGGGCUGGAGUGUGGCAGAGGGGGGUGGAAUUCCGCGUGUAGCAGUGAAAUGCGUAGAGAUGCGGAGGAACACCGAUGGUGAAGGCAGCCCCCUGGGCUGACACUGACGCUCAGGCACGAAAGCGUGGGGAGCAAACAGGA